AUUGAACGCUGGCGGCAGGCCUAACACAUGCAAGUCGAACGGUAACAGAAAGCCGCUUGCUGCUUUGCUGACGAGUGGCUGGCGGGUGAGUAAUGUCUGGGAAACUGCCUGAUGGAGGGGGAUAACUACUGGAAACGGUAGCUAAUACCGCAUAACGUCGCAAGUCCAAAGAGGGGGACCUUCGGGCCUCUUGCCAUCGGGUGUGCCCAGAUGAGAUUAGCUAGUAGGUGGGGUAACGGCUCACCUAGGCGACGCACCCGAGCUGGUCUCAGAGGAUGACCAGCAACGCUGGAAUGAGAGCACGAUCCAGAAUCCUACGGGAGGCAGAAGUGGGGAAUACUGCACAAUGGGAGCAAGCCUGAUGAAGCCAUGCCGCGCGUAUGAAGGAGGCAGUAGGGUUGUAAAGUUCUUGAAGCGGGGAGGAAGGGAGUAAAGUUAAUACCUUGGCGCAUUGACGUUACCCGGAGAAGAAGCACCGGCUAACUCCGUG
rnacentral:rRNA from 1 species